UACGUAGGGGGCAAGCGUUGUCCGGAUUUAUUGGGCGUAAAGAGCGUGUAGGCGGCCUUACAGGUCAGCUGUGAAAACUCGAGGCUCAACCUCGAGACGUCGGUUGAAACCGUAAGGCUAGUGUCCGGAAGAGGAGAGUGGAAUUCCCGGUGUAGCGGUGAAAUGCGCAGAUAUCUGGAGGAACACCGGUGGCGAAGGCGGCAUCCUGGACCGGCAUUGACGCUGAGGCGCGAAAGCCAGGGGAGCAAACGGG
rnacentral:rRNA from 1 species